UGCAUCUGCAGCUCAUGAGGAUGAGAACCUCCGGGGGCAGGGAGGUUCGACUCGAGCGAAGCGAGAGAACGUUGCGCCAGCAA
rnacentral:sRNA from 1 species